UGGGGAAUAUUGCACAAUGGGCGCAAGCCUGAUGCAGCCAUGCCGCGUGUGUGAAGAAGGCCUUCGGGUUGUAAAGCACUUUCAGCGGGGAGGAAGGCGGUGAGGUUAAUAACCUCACCGAUUGACGUUACCCGCAGAAGAAGCACCGGCUAACUCCGUGCCAGCAGCCGCGGUAAUACGGAGGGUGCAAGCGUUAAUCGGAAUUACUGGGCGUAAAGCGCACGCAGGCGGUUUGUUAAGUCAGAUGUGAAAUCCCGGGCUCAACCUGGGAACUGCAUCUGAUACUGGCAAGCUUGAGUCUCGUAGAGGGGGGUAGAAUUCCAGGUGUAGCGGUGAAAUGCGUAGAGAUCUGGAGGAAUACCGGUGGCGAAGGCGGCCCCCUGGACGAAGACUGACGCUCAGGUGCGAAAGCGUGGGGAGCAAACAGG
rnacentral:rRNA from 1 species